rnacentral:lncRNA from 1 species
AACAGGAACACUUUUACACUGUUGGUGGGACUGUAAACUAGUUCAACAACUUCUGUCAACACUGACCAAGGGAAAAAAAAAAAAAGGCUACUCAGGAGGCUAGGGUGGGAGGAUUCCUUGAGCCUGGGAGGCGGAGGUUGCAGUAAGCUGAGAUCAUGCCAUUGCUCUCCAGCCUGGGUGACAGGUGAAACCCUGUCUCAAAAAACAAAAAAAUUAUGAAUUAGUUGGGAAAGCCAUGACUGCUCUUCAUGUCACUGCCCAGCCAGUUUACAGCUCCAAGACCAAUGCAGCAGCCACAUGCGGUCGCACAUGUCUUUGGCCCUGAAGGAGCUUCACAUCCAGGGGAGGGUGCCGGAGUGUGAGAAAGCCAGAACCCAGGAACUAGCCCAGGAGCAAAGGGAUGCAGUGCAUCACCCAAUCUUCCUCCUUCAAGGAGGCUGCUCCUUCUGUGCUGCCUCUGCUGUAUGAAGUAGCUGGGAACAGUUUCCCACUUGACCUCAAGUAGUGAGGACCAGCUAUUGUCCCACUAGGAACAGCUUCCUUGGGCCCAGGGCAGGAGGUACUCACUAGACU